rnacentral:tRNA from 1 species
GGGAAGUUGGCUCAGUGGUAGAGUGCUUGCCUUGCAUGCAUGAGGUCCUAGGUUUGACUCCUCA